GAAAGUCGGCUUCGGCUGGCAAGUACCGUGGCGAACGGGUGAGUAACACGUGGGUAAUCUGCCCUUGAGUCUGGGAUAACCUUGCGAAAGCGAGGCUAAUACCGGAUAAGACCACGCCCUGUACGCAGGGUGCGGUAAAAGGUGGCCUCUUCCUGAAAGCUAUCACUCGAGGAUGAGCCCGCGGCCUAUUAGCUAGUUGGUAGGGUAACGGCCUACCAGGGCGAAGAUGGGUAGCCGGCCUGAGAGGGUGUACGGCCACACUUUUUUUUUGACACGNUGAAGACUCUACGUGUAGUCCUCUGUGGGGAUUCUAGAAGUCUCCUACAAAUUUCA
rnacentral:sRNA from 1 species